UCCGAGAUGUUGGUUUUGCUGCCGAAAAUUUUGACUAGUUGAUCCUCAUAAUCGUCGAUAUUACGUUUCAUUAGUUCCAUACACGGGCCGAGCAGGCGCUCGAAAGCUUCAACGUCCAAAACUGCAAGCGAGGAGAACACAGUAGUUUCGUAGGCCGAAGCAGCACGUGGUUUAUGCGUUACGAGUGCCAGUUCGCCUAAAUAACCGCCGGCCGGAACGCGAUUAAUCUGCGAUAUUAAAGGUAACGGGUGAGAGAGGAGCGGGACUUUUCUUGGCGCAUGCCGCCGUGGAAACGGCGUUUGGCAUUUCACGGAACUAAAUUAACGUGUAUAUAUAUGUAUAUAUAAAUGCACCUCGAUUUCACGGCCGUUCUCGCCGAGUAUAGUGAUCCUGACGAUGCCGUCCUCGACGAAGUACAUUCCGUCCGCCGUGUCGCCCUGCCUGAUUAUUUGCUCACCAUCUGAAUACUGUUUUGGUACAAGGGCGUCCGCUAAAUUCAUACGCUCGUAAGACUAAAAGGGAAUUUUUACGAUUACACGUGCGAACGUACUGCGUCUGAGUCUCGUGAUGAGGUUGACGCGUUUUGAAGAAUGUUUUUCUGCGCAGAAACUUAUUUCCCAAAUAAUAAAUACAUCAUGAGACACAACUGUCCAUAAGAAAUGUGCACACGAAGACAAUUUCCGAAUAAAUCGAUAUUCUGCAGACUGUGACAGUCUAUUCAUGCACUACAAGGAAUAUAGUAAAAUUGAGAAGAAUUCAUUUGAGAAGAAAGGCACAAGCACAAAGGCUAUUAAAAGACAGGUAUGUGCGACACUUGCCUCGAGGGAUUUCAACAUCGGCACUUUGUUGAUGAGGUCCUCGUACAUUUUGCGCUUUUUGUACGCGGAUUUGAGGAGAAUACGCCGGAAAGUUUGUCUGUCCAUGGCCCAAAGUGUGCCGGGUGUGAUGGCUUUUACAGUAGCUGCUCUGGGCAUGUUGUAUAGAAGGGCCAGUUCUCCGAAAGCGCCGCGAUUAUCCUAGGAGCUAAACCGGCCGAGAGUCUGUGCAUCGCCUCUUGGUUCAUUGGAACUUCCCGCUGAAGGGAGAAGCCCAUCGAUACGUUAACGGUAAUAUAAAGAAAAAGUAUUACCUCUCGAUCACAUAAAAGUUGUCACCAUCGUCG